rnacentral:rRNA from 1 species
UACGUAGGGUGCAAGCGUUGUCCGGAAUUAUUGGGCGUAAAGAGCUCGUAGGCGGUUCGUCGCGUCGGCUGUGAAAACCCGGAGCUCAACUCCGGGCCUGCAGUCGAUACGGGCGGACUCGAGUUCGGCAGGGGAGACUGGAAUUCCUGGUGUAGCGGUGAAAUGCGCAGAUAUCGGGAGGAACACCUGUGGCGAAGGCGGCCCCCUGGUUGGAUACUGACGCUGAUACGCGAAAGCGUGGGGAGCAAACAGG